rnacentral:rRNA from 1 species
GGGAGCGACGAACCGGGCUUCGGCCCGGGGCAAAGCCGCGAACGGGUGAGUAACACGUGGGUAACCUGCCCCGUUGACCGGGACAACCCGAGGAAACUCGGGCUAAUACCGGAUGAGCUCUCAAUCCAUCAGGGUUGUGAGGAAAGGAAGCCUCGGCCUCCGCAUCGGGAUGGGCCCGCGGCCCAUUAGCUUGUUGGUGGGGUAAUGGCCUACCAAGGCUGCGAUGGGUAGCUGGUCUGAGAGGACGAUCAGCCACACUGGGACUGAGACACGGCCCAGACUCCUACGGGAGGCAACAGUGGGGAAUCUUGCGCAAUGCGCGAAAGCGUGACGCAGCAACGCCGCGUGUGGGAAGACGGCCUUCGGGUUGUAAACCACUUUCAGUUGGGACGAAGCCUUGCCGGUGAAUAGCCGGCUGAGGUGACGGUACCUUCAGAAGAAGCCCCGGCUAACUACGUGCCAGCAGCCGCGGUAAUACGUAGGGGGCAAGCGUUGUCCGGAAUCAUUGGGCGUAAAGCGCGUGUAGGCGGCCAGAUAAGUCCGUUCUGAAAGCCCGGGGCUCAACCCCGGGAGGCGGAUGGAUACUGUUUGGCUCGAGUCCGGAAGAGGCGAGUGGAAUUCCCGGUGUGGCGGUGAAAUGCGCAGAUAUCGGGAGGAACACCAAUGGCGAGGGCAGCUCGCUGGGACGGUACUGACGCUGAGACGCGAAGCGUGGGGAGC